UCUUAUUUGCCAACCACAGAAGCCACUUCAGCUAAUUUAAGAAUUUACUAAGGAACAUUACAUAGUCUGUGGAGUCUCUAGGAGAAUCAGUCAGAUCUGGAGCCUACCCAGCCAGUAACAAUACCAAAACCACUAAGCAGGAUUGCCUCAGCCAGACCUCGGUGCUGCUACCAAUGGGGCUGUAGAUGAAGGACGUUACGUACAAGACUCUCCGUCAUUUCUGCCACUGAAGACCAGACUUCUCUUCACCAUCCAGGCCAGAAAAAUGGAUUCAGCACAGCACUUGCUUCUUCAUGCUGCUGUUUUCGACUGAGACCUGUGAAACUUUAAUGCCAAGGAUCUCACUUAACCCUCCUAACAAACAUAUGAAGUGACCAUGAUUUCCAAUCAACAGAUAAGGAGAUGGAAGCCUGGAAAGGUUGAAUAAUUUGCCUAAGGGCAUUCUCUGACAGCCAAGGAGCCCACAUGGCCAGCUACAAUGGUGUACUUCAGGAGGUAAUGCCCUGGUAGCAAUUCAACUAGUGAGGAAGAGUCAAGAAAACAGUCCAGCCACUUGUCUUUCAGGAGACAAUUGCUGAACUAUCAACAGAGCUUCACAGAAGACCUGGUGGAAUCAAGCUGCCACUGUCUACACAGCAAUGACCUCAUCAAUGCACCUUUGUGUUGACCCUUCCUCUUUCUCAAUGUCGCAAGUCCCUCACUCUGAUUUUUUUGGGCUCUGGGAGAUGCAUCAGGUAGUUUAUUACUCUUUCUGAAAAAGUCUCUGUGGGAGCUUCUGAUAUGCUUCACUGUGUCUCUCUCUUGUGCUGAAUCCCAGUCUUUACACCUCAUGUCUUCAUUUUAUUUGUGCCCUUAUUCUUAUGAAACAUAUCCUUUAUGGUUUUUUGAGAAAGACCAUAUGAGAGGUAAAGCUUGUGAGACCUUGUACAAAUAAAAAUGUCUUCAUUUUCCCCUUAGGUUUGAUUAAUAGUUUAUUUGGAUCCAGAAUUUUAGGUUGGAAAUUUCUUUCAGAAUUUUGAAGGCACUGCUUCUGUUGAAAUUUUAAGCUAUUCUGAUUCUUACUUCUUGGUAUUUGACCUGCCCUUUUUCUUUGGAAACAUAUCUUCUCUUUGACCUCAAAGUGCCUGAAAUUUCAUAAUAGACUUUUUUUCAUCCACUGUAUUAUUCUUUCAAUCUAAAAUCUGAAGUUCUUUAGUACUGGAAUUAUUUCUUGAAAUACUCCACUGAGUCCCUGUUUUCUCUGUUCUUUUUGGAACUCUGGGAGAUUGAAUAUCGGGCCUCCAGGGCUGUUAAAAAUUAACUUUUUUUCCUCCAUAUUUUAUUUCCUGAGAAAUUUCUUCAACUUUAUAAAUCUUCAACUUCUAAAUCAUAUAUUGAAUUAUUCAGCAAUGCUAUUCAUUUUUU